GAAAACAAAACUAGGACGAUUUGCUUUCAGCCACCAAUAAGAUUGAAGCUUAACUUUAUCUAGCAAUUGAUUAAUCGAAACUUCUGUUUGGUGAAAAACCCGAGCAUUCCUUUCAAGCCAAAUCACCCACACACAAGAUAAUCAUAUAAGAUGAAAAGCGGAGCGAUUGUUUUUUGAGAAGCCUCCUAAGGUGCCAAAUU
rnacentral:lncRNA from 1 species